rnacentral:rRNA from 1 species
GAUGAACGCUGGCGGCGUGCCUAAUACAUGCAAGUCGAGCGAACGGACGAGAAGCUUGCUUCUCUGAUGUUAGCGGCGGACGGGUGAGUAACACGUGGAUAACCUACCUAUAAGACUGGGAUAACUUCGGGAAACCGGAGCUAAUACCGGAUAAUAUUUUGAACCGCAUGGUUCACAUGUGAAAGACGGUCUUGCUGUCACUUAUAGAUGGAUCCGCGCUGCAUUAGCUAGUUGGUAAGGUAACGGCUUACCAAGGCAACGAUGCAUAGCCGACCUGAGAGGGUGGUCGACCACACUGGAACUGAGAAACGGUCCCGACUCCUACGGGGGGCAGCAGUAGGGAAUCUUCCGCAAUGGGCGAAAGCCUGACGGAGCAACGCCGCGUGAGUGAUGAAGGUCUUCGGAUCGUAAAACUCUGUUAUUAGGGAAGAACAUAUGUGUAAGUAUCUGUGCACAUCUUGACGGUACCUAAUCAGAAAGCCACGGCUAACUACGUG